UGAGGAAUAUUGGUCAAUGGACGGAAGUCUGAACCAGCCAAGUAGCGUGCAGGAUGACGGCCCUAUGGGUUGUAAACUGCUUUUAUACGGGGAUAAAGUUAGGGACGUGUCCCUAUUUGCAGGUACCGUAUGAAUAAGGACCGGCUAAUUCCGUGCCAGCAGCCGCGGUAAUACGGAAGGUCCGGGCGUUAUCCGGAUUUAUUGGGUUUAAAGGGAGCGUAGGCCGUUUGGUAAGCGUGUUGUGAAAUGUAGGAGCUCAACUUCUAGAUUGCAGCGCGAACUGUCAGACUUGAGUGCGCACAACGUAGGCGGAAUUCAUGGUGUAGCGGUGAAAUGCUUAGAUAUCAUGAAGAACUCCGAUUGCGAAGGCAGCUUACGGGAGCGCAACUGACGCUGAAGCUCGAAGGUGCGGGUAUCGAACAGG
rnacentral:rRNA from 1 species